UUUCCGUAGGUGAACCUGCGGAAGGAUCAUUAUUGAAUGAACUUGGCGUGAUUGUAGCUGGUCCUUUCGAGGGCAUGUGCACAUCUGUCAUCUUUAUCUUUCCACCUGUGCACCAAUCGUAGGUCUAAAAAAUUUUCCCCGAGACACUCGGGGGAGCAUGGGGCGUUGCUGUGUGUUACCACCAGCUUGCCCUGCAUUUUCUAGAUCUAUGUUUUCACAUACACCAUAAAAUGUAAUAGAAUGUUAUUAUUGGGCUUUUAUUGCCUAUAAACUAUAUACAACUUUCAGCAACGGAUCUCUUGGCUCUC
rnacentral:misc_RNA from 1 species